UGCCAGUGUUCUGUGUGUGUGUGUAUGUGUGUUGAAACAAUAUUAUGAUCUGACCAUGCAGUGUUUAGUGUAUCCAUCUCUCCUCUAAUAUUACUUAUAAUAUGUAUGUUGCACUGAGCAAGCCGUCUACUUGUAAGGAAAAACAGACAGGACAUAAAGAUGCUCGACUUUGCACCAAUUACUGGGGUAUUUUCAUAAUUAUACACAAUUAUAUUCAUAGACAUCGAUUGUCUACAUAAGUGAAGCAAUGCACUGGAUAAAAAAAACAGUUUGUGAUAUUGAAGUCUGACCAUCUCUCAAAAUGAUGCUCCCAAAGCCUAACUUCUCCUAUACUACCUACGAAUACAUAGAGAGUCUUCCAGUACUCAUAUUUCCGCUUAUAUUUUUCAUAGUAAGCCUUUUUGUUACUUGUCUUGCAGAGAAAAAAUAUACAGUAAAAAACGUUUUUCUGGACAUUUUCUAUGGACCUCCGUUGGCAGUACUGACCUCUAUGCCUGGAACAAAAAGCAAGGAAAGAAAGUUCUAUAUUGCUUCAAAUGAGGUAUCAGGUUUUGUUUCUUGGUGCUUGUAUUUUAUAGGGAUGCUGUUUGUGCCAAGUUCCUUUAUUGUUUUCUGGGACCUCUUCGUUUUCACCGAGUCUCUUGUUUGUGACGAUCUAACAAUAGAUUGCUUCUCUUCACCGUCGUACGAAAUUGUGAACAACUGUACCGACUACAAGGACUUAGAUGUCGAGUUUAUCUGCUUUCGAUUCACCUUUUCAUUUGGUAUAGGCCUUGCUGCAGUUGGUGGUGUGUUCACAGCUCUGCAAAUCAUUGUGAAGCUAAUAUCUCGAUUCUGCAUAUGGUUUUACAAACAAAUACCCAAAAAAGGAAGAUGGUGUGUGUAUGUCUUGAUUUCUAGUCUGUCUAUUACUGCCAGCAUAGUAGAUGUUGCGUUGUAUAGUUUCGUCUUACCUUAUCACUUGUACGAACAUUAUCCUUUCGCAAAAAUCCUUGCUAUCUACUGGAAAUUUGGUAUCUUUGUUCUCACUUUUACUAUAAGUGUUUGCACACCAUGGCACAUCAUUACACAAGAACGGGACAAUGAUCUCGAACAGAAUACUACAGAUGAACAGCAACCUCCUUACUCAAAUGAGAGUGAACCAGAGCAACCUCAUUCCCCAGAUGAGAGUGAACAGAGCUCGAACCAAUCAGCUGAAUUGCAUGAAUCACUUCUUCCAAUUGGAAGAAAUCGUGCUUUUGCUGUUAAUUCACGUCCUCAGAAUUCACGUUCUCGAACUUUAUCCCGAUCACAAGAUGCUGAUGCUUACCACUUGUUGAACAACCCAGAGAUAAAUUAAGAUUAUAGUGAACAAUUUUUUUUUUUACAUGUGAUAGUAAAGUCUAACCUAGCCUCGAUUCCAAGCCGCUGAGAAAGGCGGCCUGGUAUACACUGUUUACGCAUGCGCCAGCUAGAAUUACCCAGAAUCUGGGUAAUCGUAAAUUGCAGUAUAUUUAUCAGUAUUAUUAGUUUGUAAAACAUUGAUAUCCGUUUCAUUUAUAAUGAUGUCAUUGAAAAAAGAAAUCUAGUCCAAGUUGUGUAAUGGCUGCUACCUUCUCUUCUGCUCUCGCGUACGCGUUAUCCUGUGUUGGAAAACCAGGUCUAGUCUUGAAAGACAAGCAGCUGGAGGCGUUAAAGUGUCUGUACGCUGGUGUUUAUGUGGGUACCGUAUCGACCGGCUAUGGCAAGUCCCAGAGCAAGCCCAUAUAUCUGCUUUCCAGACACUUCCUUUCUUGAUUGAUGUGAAGCUUGACAGGACCAGUGCACCUCUCUCUGAAAGAAGUGUUGUGAUGGUGAUUUCUCCUCUUGUUUCUCUGAGUGAAGCCAUCUUCAAAGUGUUGGUGUGUCUGUUCGACGUUCAGUGCCAUUCUCUCUGGAAGGAAGUAUUGUUGUGACAUUUGCCGAAAAUUGGUCACAGAGUAAGUACGUGGUAUCUGCAUGAUCCGAGAACUGUGUGGCCUGAAUGUGUUUACAAUCCGAGGGACUUGUGUAUCCGAUCCGAGGGACUUGUUGCUUGAGUGUGUAUCCGGACUUGUUGCUUGAGUGUGUAUUAAUGGAUAGUGCUUUCAAUGGUUUAACUAAUUUCUUAUGAGAUUAACUUGUUGCCUGAGUGUGUAUCCGAUCCGAGCCUCAAGUUAAUGAAUAAAUCUACAGAGCUGAUGUUUUACUUAGCUGUCUCUGUCUACAGUAUAUACAGAGAGGUAGCCUCUUCUUUUUCUUUUUUCUGUUCUUUAUCACAAUAACUGUUUUAACGUUCAA